ACAUCAGAGCAGAGAGCUCCAGCUUUCUCCGGAAAGACCCCAGAAAAAAGCAAGGAAGGAUUCCUCGGGGACCUAUUUUCUUCUGCUUGCUGAUGUAGUGGUUUCUUCYACCAGACCUCAUUUACCAAUUUGUCUACCUUUAUGUGAAGCAACUAGGAGAUCCCUAUAAAAUGACCUUUAUAUUGGAAAUUAAAAACAAAAGAACCUCUUAUAAUCAUUGUGAGUGCAAGSAGAUCAUUCAAGGUGCUAAGGAUUGUACUCAGUGCUUCAAACYUCACCUAAAAAUUCGUGAACGGUGAGUACAAGGUAAGGAGUGCGGGUCUAGUGAGCUCCCUACAGUCUGUCAUUCUUGGAAAAUAGUUUUAUGGRAACCCUGGAACCUUCACACAUU
rnacentral:lncRNA from 1 species